rnacentral:rRNA from 1 species
GGGUUGUGAGGUUAAGCGACUAAGCGUACACGGUGGAUGCCCUGGCAGUCAGAGGCGAUGAAGGACGUGCUAAUCUGCGAAAAGCGUCGGUAAGGUGAUAUGAACCGUUAUAACCGGCGAUGUCCGAAUGGGGAAACCCAGUGUGAUUCGUUGCACUAUCGUUAACUGAAUACAUAGGUUAACGAGGCGAACCGGGGGAACUGAAACAUCUAAGUACCCCGAGGAAAAGAAAUCAACCGAGAUUCCCCCAGUAGCGGCGAGCGAACGGGGAGCAGCCCAGAGUCUGAAUCAGCU